rnacentral:rRNA from 1 species
UACGUAGGGCGCAAGCGUUGUCCGGAAUUAUUGGGCGUAAAGAGCUCGUAGGCGGCUUGUCACGUCGGGUGUGAAAGCCCGGGGCUUAACCCCGGGGUCUGCAUUCGAUACGGGCAGGCUAGAGUGUGGUAGGGGAGAUCGGAAUUCCUGGUGUAGCGGUGAAAUGCGCAGAUAUCAGGAGGAACACCGGUGGCGAAGGCGGAUCUCUGGGCCAUUACUGACGCUGAGGAGCGAAAGCGUGGGGAGCGAACAGG